UACGGGGGGGGCGAGCGGUUGUUCGGAAUUACUGGGCGUAAAGGGUUUGUAGGUGGUCUGCUAAGUCAGACGUGAAAUCCCUCAGCUUAACUGGGGAACUGCGUCUGAUACUGGCGGACUUGAGGACAGGAGAGGAACGCGGAAUUCCAGGUGUAGCGGUGAAAUGCGUAGAUAUCUGGAGGAACACCGGUGGCGAAGGCGGCAUCCUGGACCAACACUGACGCUGAGUGAGCGAAAGCCAGGGGAGCAAACGGG
rnacentral:rRNA from 1 species